ensembl:lncRNA
CUCCUCUGCUUGUGUGUUCAGCUGUUCAUUUAUUUGGGUUCCUUUUGCUUUUCUUUUUAAAGAGAAGAAAGGGCGUAAAAGAGGCCCAACUGCACCUCCACCACUACUGCUUCAGGAUCCAGAGACAGCCCGCAAAAGGAUCGAAGAGCGAGUAGCCACGGUGCUUGUAGAAGACGUGGAAUUCCCUCCUACCCCUCAGCUUCCCACCAGUAGUAUUUUGGAGGAUGGAUCUGGGAAAGCAGCCUGGCUCAUGCCAUUGCCCAAAAACAAGGACUCAUCUUUAUGGAAUAGCAGUGCUCUAACAGGACCCCGUGACCCUGAAUUGUUCUACACUGCUGGAUUAAACCCUCCAGUUGUACCUGUGCAGAGUUCUAAGUCAGAGAUUGUUCUGCCAUCAGUGGGAUCUGAUCAGCCAGAAGUGUCCCAGGAAGUUGAUUCUGACCUCAGUUCGCGUGAUCCUGCCUCUGURGAGGUUGGAGGCCAAACUUCUGAUGAAUCCAAGUCAGGCCCUGAAGAAGAUGGACAGGUUUCAUUUGAGAGCCAGGAUGUUCAGACCCYGCAGGACCUGGUUGAGUUGGCCAGGGAAGGACUUACUCUUACUCAGGGGAACCUUGAUGUUAACCACGUUCAGGAAGCAGAGCAGUCAAGUGUCACAUGCAUUUCUGCCAGGAGGGAACCCACACAUGGCCAAUGGUGAGGCCAAAAGUUAUCCCAGCUAUUGGACUUUCCUUUGUAUUAUGUGCACAGCAGUGUGCAGCAAUGCUGCUCUUUUCUGCAUAUUGACUGUUGCUAACAGCACUGCCUCGUCAGGUCUUGAGAAGACCAGGUGAAAGAAGAGUGCAAGAGGGAUGACGUUAUGUUGGUACAUGGAUACACAAUCCCUGAAGUUGAUCUGUACAGGCUGAAAAAAUACACCACCUAGAAUUCCUCCAAGAGCAACUCUCUAACUUCCCCAGUCAUAGUUGCAUGCGGUGCACAACUGCACAUUCCAAGGUCAAGGAGAGCCUUAAAAUGGCCUAGCCGUUUAGCGUAAUAUAUGUAUUGUACAUCUCCUGUUCACCUGUUAACAAAGAACGUGGUUGCUAAAUUCUCCUGUCGGUCUGCAUUUUUACUUGGAUAAAGUUCCCUUACUUCCCCUACUAAACUGCAGCAAAUGGCUGCUGGUCCUAUGCCGAGGGGCCAAACACCUCUGAUAAAGGCAAGAGGGAGGGGCUGAGCCUUUCAGCUCAGAAAUAUCAGCGUGGUACAGCAGUCAUCUUGGGGAGCUGUCAUGGCAAGGCUCCUAUUAGGAGUUCCUACUUCGCUCURUCUUACAAGGACGUUGUACGUGAUUUGUGAUGUGCCUUUUCUUCUUUGAGGAGAAGAAACGACUUCCGGUGAUACUCCACUUAGUGGCUUUGUCCCUCCAUCCAAAGAGAAGAGAAUUCUGAGAAGCAGCUCUGAGAGAGUAAGGACAAACGUUAUUUUUUUCCACCUUUUUGUAUUUGUUUGCGUUUGUACUGUAAAAAAGAGGCUCAUCCAUUUGAGGGAUUCACAGAAGUAUGGAAUAUUUCCCAUUGCUUUCCUCAGAAGCAAAGAGGUGUUUAAGGUUCACAGUCAYKCACAGGAAUCAUUACAGGCACAGCUGAGGUCAAAAUGCUUGAUGUUUCAUUGAUGCCCACAGGCAGGCCUGUGGUUGUUUCAGAGUGUUUGUCCUCCUUGAGUUAAAAUACCAGGUAACAUAAAGCCAAUCUGUGCAUAAUUCAUGCAAAGAGAACCAGGUUAAAUAGUGAGGCUGUAGUCCUUAGAGUAUUUGGGGUAGUUACUAGGGAUGUAUCUGCACAGCWUUUAGGCAGUACUCUGCUUUGAUGUCCGGACUAGAUCAGAGCGAUCUAUCUGCCUAUCUGCCAAGAAUAAGAGCAAGAAACACCUGAUUAGUUUCCAGACUGAACUUCCUGUCUUCCCCCUGGAGAGCAGUCCACACCGCUGUCAUGACAUGCAGAGUCUUCUCUAGCCCACCUAUGAAGGCCUGGAAGAAAUGGUCCAGUGUGUGCUGCUGUUUCAGUGCUAAUUGGUAUUGGCUGCCUGCAAACACAUACUGGAAYGAGUAGAGAGGUUGAGUUUCCGCAAUCCACUGAACUAAUGUAGAAACCUGCUAAUAAAAUGAAGAGCUGCGUUGUUCCA